rnacentral:tRNA from 1 species
GGCUGCGUAGCUCAGUUGGAUAGAGCAUCCGCCUUCUAAGCGGACGGUCACAGGUUCGAAUCCUGUCGCAGUCGCCA